GCCUACAAGAGUCAGUACGGAGCAGUAAAGCAGGUUUUCUGGUGUGAAGGACGACAACGAAGAAGAACUACAACAACACGGAGCAAUGGAGGAGAACGACAUGCGGCUUCACUUGUAAUUAGAGGAAGAAUAAGAAAAAGAAAAAAGUAAUAAACGGUUUCAGGCCUUCCGUGCCAUAGUCCUUAUAUCGCGUCAUCUUUAUGUUUAAAAAACAAUUAGCAAAACGCCUUGUUGAUGAGAGCUGUCAACGAAGAAUGGCCAGAAAAGCAUCUCAGAAGGCACAACUACUAUGAGCUUUUAGCUAAUAUUUCUGCCUUGUCUUUUUCUGUGAUAGCUAUUCUUCCUUCUCCUGUUAAUACCGGUAUAUUUCUGGUUUUAUACAGCACAAUCAUCUUCUUUAACACACCUCACACAGUUCGUUCCUUCUGAUAUUCUUGUACUGCCACUGGUGUCAAUGUUAUUUUUUCAAACUAAAUGCUUGAUGUCUAUUUUUAAUUGUAUGAGAACAAUCUUCACUGCACCAUGGAACAACUUUCUCCCUUCCAUUUCCUUACACUUUAGGGAUAGAUUUCUCUGCUGCUCUGAUUAAUAUUGAGCUUAAUUUCUCUGUGCAGUUAUGAAGUUCUCACUGUACCUGUUGCUUUGGGUUUCGUCAACACUCACUUGCACCACCUGAUGGUGGAGACGGACUAGCAGCAGGUGGAGAUUAUGCAUCAUGCAUGGAUACGCUUCUGCUGUUCCUGCAGUUCCCAGAUGUGCAUUGCUGAAUAUCUUACUGAAUCUGACCCACUGAAUUUGUGGAAGUGAAUUUUUAAAGCGAAGUCAAAUGGACUAAAAUUUGCCUGUCGAAUAUUAUAGGUGGUAUUUUUAAACGAACAGUAUUUUUUUUAAUGAACUUCAGAAGGUAUAUAUUGAUUAUUGAAUGUUUCAUAAUGAAAUUGUAUGUUAAAUGUUUCCAGUUUAAAUAUUCACAGCUUAAAUAUACAACUAUGUCAAACUGCACCCCCCAAAAAUGCAAGGCCUGAAAAUACAAUGCAUUAAAAUACAAGAAAUCUUAUUACAAAGCAUUAUAUUUUCAAUUAGUGCAAUUCAACAUGCUUUUUUUUUAUUUCAAAGACACGUCAUUAUUUUACUUCCAUAUGAUAUCCCCGUCUUAAUUUUGUCUGAGGCUAUAUUGUUAUUAAUGUGAUCCUGCUCCACCAAAAUCUACACUCACAAGACACUCCAUAUCCGUAAAGUGCUUUUCUAUAGUCAGGCUUGUGUUCAUCUGUGGAAACAGUUACUUCAGAGUAUCUAAAUCUAAACUGUCUUAGCUUUUUCUGGUUAAGGUUAACAAUGAGACUAAGAAGGCCUGCAAGGCUUCCAAGAAACAAUUACUCAUCUUUAAUCAGCAAACCUCCAGUGUUUAAUUAACACAUAGUGCUAAAUUGAGCCUUGCAGAGUUCAGUUUUUCAGUAUGAACAUUUUCACUCAGACUACUAAUGUCUCAGCUAGGAAUUAACUGCCAAAAAUAAAUUGAUUAAGAGGCCUUUAGAUGCUUUCGUUGAUUUUAUUUGUUUACAACAAUGCAUAAUUACAAUGUUAUAUUUAACAGCAUGCACUGUUUCAAAGAAUAUUGUAAUUCAUCUAAGCUCUCAAUGGAAUCUAAAAAUGAAAAAAAAAAAAAAAAAUCUCCUCCACAUCAGACCCUCCACCAACUCUUUAACAAGCUACAUAAUUAUAAUUAACUUUUAAAAUAGAAAUAUGUUCCAUGCCUUUUUAGAUGACAGUGCAAAA